GUUGUCUAAUAUUUCAUACGAGUUUGGGCAACUAGCUAUUAAUUCAUCUUUGUCAAUGCUAAAACCCAUGAUACACAGUCCAUGUACCUCAUUCUCACUUUGCCCUUCAAAUCCACAAAUUACUGACUUCAAGAGUGAAAUUGCUGUCAGUUUGUGAAUUUAAGACUUAUUAUUUGUGGAUUCAAUUUGCAUGUCUUGACAAGAAUUUUCUUUGAGUGGUUAAUGGGCUUCCUUGCCUUCAUUGGAGGCACUUAUGUGUCAGCCUGUUCAUAACAUGGGACACAUCUUGUUUUUAUAGCACAAGACAAGUGCCUUCCAUUGUUAAUAGAUGAUGUAGGAUUUGAACUUUGAAUUAUCUGAUGCCUUUUUUUUAUUGUCAUUUUUCAUAUGGGGCAGAGGCUCUAACUUUUUAUUUCUGAUUGAUGUGGGAUUGAAACUUUUUAUCUGUCAGCCCCCAAACCACAUUUCUUUCUGCCCUUCUCAUCUCUCUCUUUUUCAAUUUUAUUUGUUUUUAAGUAAAGAACCAAGGUAAAAUCAUUAUCUUUCUUUUUAUUUGUUUGAUUUCCUAUAAAUAGGAUGGACCAAUCAAUAAUACUUCUUUCUUAACAAGCAAUGAAUGAGCACAGGCACAUACAUUAAAAGAUACAGGAAUUUCAACUGAAUAUAAGACACCGUAUGAGCAAAUUUGGAUGUUUAUGUGAAUGAACAAUAAUUUUUGAAAUUUUUAUAUAAUAUAAUUAUGAUUAAUAUUCUAUAGAUGUUCUGGACUUGUCAAUUUUUU
rnacentral:misc_RNA from 1 species